UACGUAGGGUGCUAGCGUUGUUCGGAAUCAUUGGGCGUAAAGCGCGUGUAGGCGGUUAGUUAAGUCGGGUGUGAAAUCCCUGGGCUUAACCGAGGAAGUGCAUCCGAAACUAACUAGCUGGAGAAUGGUAGAGGAAGGUGGAAUUCCAAGUGUAGAGGUGAAAUUCGUAGAUAUUUGGAGGAAUACCGGUGGCGAAGGCGGCCUUCUGGGCCAUUUCUGACGCUGAGACGCGAAAGCGUGGGGAGCAAACAGG
rnacentral:rRNA from 1 species